rnacentral:rRNA from 1 species
AUGAAGCCCCACAAGAGCAACCCCUUCUCGCGGAAGAUCUCCGUGGCCCUUGCCACGCUGAUCCUCGUCCUGCUGGCCCUCGCCGCCGUCUCGCUCUACGACUUCAACUUCACCGACAGCUACCACUACAUACGGCGCGCCUCCUCUGCAUCGUCGUUCCCGGCAACCACCUCCUCGUCUCCCACGAUUCCGGCGGCAACCUUACCAUCGUCAUCGUCGUCGAAGACCAACUCCUCGGCCACUGACGCCUGCGACCUGACGCGGGGCCAGUGGGUGCCGGACGACGAGCCGCCCUACUACACCAACCUGACGUGCUCGUUCAUCGACGACCUCCAGAACUGCAUGAAGUUCGGCAAGCCGGGCCUCGACCUCAUCAUGCGCUGGCGGUGGAAGCCUCACGACUGCGACCUCCCCCGCUUCGACGCCGGGCGGUUCCUGGAGGCCAUGAGGGGCAAGUCCAUGGCCUUCGUUGGGGACUCGCUCGCCAGGAACCACGUCAAGUCUCUGCUCUGCAUCCUGUCCCAGGUGGCAGAGCCGGUGGAGCUCGUCACCACGACGGAGACCGACGUGACGGGGAGGGCCGUCCGGCGAGACUUCCACUACGGCAGCCACGGCUUCAACGUCUCGCUCUUCUGGUCGCCGUUCCUGGUCAAGGCCAACCUCUCCAACGCGGCGCCCGGCCUGGGCCUGUGGGACGUGCACCUCGACACGCCGGAUGCCCGGUGGGCGGCGCACAUCGCCGACUUUGACUACAUCGUCCUGUCCGGCACCUACUGGUUCUUCCGCCCCUGCGUGUACUACGAGGGCGGCCGGGCCGUCGGGCGCCACGGCGGCGCCAGUGGCGCCCACAACGCGACUGAGAUGCCCGUCUCCGGCGCGGUGCGCGCCGCGUUCCGCACAGCGCUCGGCGCCAUCGCGGCCCCGGCCCGCGAGGGGUUCCGCGGCAAGGCCGUGGUCCGGACGGUCACGCCCGUGCACUUCGAGAACGGGGAGUGGAACUCCGGCGGCGACUGCGUCCGCACGCGGCCGUUCCGCCGCGGCGAGCGCGCCCGCGACGCCAUGGUGGCCGAGUUCCGCGCCGCGCAGGUUGACGCGCUCAGGGAGACGGAGGCUGCGUCGCAGCGGAACCGGAACGGCGCGGAGCUGCGGCUGCUGGACAUCACAGAGGCGAUGGAGCUGCGGCCGGACGGGCACCCGAGCCGGUACGGACACCCGCCGGGCGGGAGCGUGGAGGGGAGCUUCGUGGUGGACUGCUUGCACUGGUGCUUGCCCGGGCCGAUCGACAUGUGGAGCGAGCUGCUGUUCCACAUGCUGGCGGCUCAUCGACAGCGUGCUGACACAGAGUGA